rnacentral:rRNA from 1 species
GAUGAACGCUGGCGGCGUGCCUAAUACAUGCGAGUCGAGCGAACAGACGAGGAGCUUGCUCCUCUGACGUUAGCGGCGGACGGGUGAGUAACACGUGGAUAACCUACCUAUAAGACUGGGAUAACUUCGGGAAACCGGAGCUAAUACCGGAUAAUAUAUUGAACCGCAUGGUUCAAUAGUGAAAGACGGUUUUGCUGUCACUUAUAGAUGGAUCCGCGCCGCAUUAGCUAGUUGGUAAGGUAACGGCUUACCAAGGCAACGAUGCGUAGCCGACCUGAGAGGGUGAUCGGCCACACUGGAACUGAGACACGGUCCAGACUCCUACGGGAGGCAGCAGUAGGGAAUCUUCCGCAAUGGGCGAAAGCCUGACGGAGCAACGCCGCGUGAAUGAUGAAGGUCUUCGGAUCGUAAAACUCUGUUAUUCGGGAAGAACAAAUGUGUAAGUAACUAUGCACGUCUUGACGGUACCUAAUCAGAAAGCCACGGCUAACUACGUG